rnacentral:miRNA from 1 species
UUUAUAGCAGUGGGCAACACGU